CUGACACAGGGGAGUAGUGACAAGAAAUAACAAUACAGGGCUUAAAGUCUUGUAAUUGGAAUGAUGGGAAUCUAAACCCUUCCCAGAGUAUCAAUUGGAGGGCAAGUCUGGUGCCAGCAGCCGCGGUAAUUCCAGCUCCAAUAGCGUAUAUUAAAGUUGUUGCAGUUAAGAAGCUCGUAGUUGAAUUUCUGCCUUGUCAUUAAAUUUGCUUCCGAGCGUUUUUUUAUUGACUUGGCAUCUUCUGGAUUUGGUUCCCUUCGGGGUUCUAUUUUCCGGGAUUUACUUUGAGAAAACUAGAGUGUUUCAAACAGGCAUUUGCCUUGAAUACUACAGCAUGGAAUAAUGAAGUAGGACUUUGGUUCUAUUUGUUGUAAGCCAAAG
rnacentral:rRNA from 1 species